UACGGAGGGAGCUAGCGUUGUUCGGAAUUACUGGGCGUAAAGCGUACGUAGGCGGUUAUUCAAGUCAGAGGUGAAAGCCCGGGGCUCAACCCCGGAACGGCCUUUGAAACUAGAUAGCUAGAGUCUUGGAGAGGUUAGUGGAAUUCCGAGUGUAGAGGUGAAAUUCGUAGAUAUUCGGAAGAACACCAGUGGCGAAGGCGACUAACUGGACAAGUACUGACGCUGAGGUACGAAAGCGUGGGGAGCAGACAGG
rnacentral:rRNA from 1 species